rnacentral:rRNA from 1 species
CGGCAAAAGCUCAGAUUUGAAAUCUGGCGUCUUCGGCGUCCGAGUUGUAAUCUGUAGAGGAUGCCAUUGGGUAGCCACCGGUCUAAGUCCCCUGGAACGGGGCGUCACAGAGGGUGAGAAUCCCGUAUGUGACCGGAAGGGCACCCUCCACAUGGCUCCUUCGAC